rnacentral:lncRNA from 1 species
AAGACGCGGCCUGGCCCUGGCCGUUCGGCCCUUCGUCUGAGCGCAAAGGCUCCAGCACCUCCGCGGCCGAAGCCGCGGGACUUUUCGUGGAAAAUGGGACCCAGCCCGAUCGCCAGCGGCGCUGCAGCGGACUCUGCGGGAACCUAGCUUCUGCUCCAGGACCUCCAGGGCCACCCCAGCUCGCAGGGCGUUCGCAGCGGCUCAGGGCGAAUCACGCUCAUGGUCCCCGUGCGCAUUUUCAGCCCCAGCCGGGGAGGGACCCAGAGCUGGAGGCUUAGCCCUGGAGAUACCGGUGAAGAUGGAUGAAUGAGAAACCAGUUGGAGCUUCCAAGGCCUGUCGUCCAUCAGGAGAAGCAAAAGGUUUUAUUCUAGAGACAAGUCCUUCCAACUGUACAGCUGAUGGAGUAGCCAAGGAAACCUGGACAGGAGGUAGCUUCUGACCUUUGGGAGCCAGAAGGGCCAGUAAAUGGAUUCUCUUCUCGGAGGUCUUUCCAGAGACACAUAGAAGGUGCCAUCUAUGAGGAACAGGCCUUCACCAGACAUCAAAUCUGUUGGCAUCUUGAUCUUUGACUUCUCCACCGCCAGAACUAGAUCAAGACAUGAAACCCAUGUUCAAGAUACUUUCCAGUGUGUCUUCAUGUGAUCCUCUGAGUCCAGCCAUCAGGCUACCAGCAGCUCUUGGAAACCCUGACAUACUUAUUCUUAGAAGACUGCUUUCCGGACUCAAAGUGGAACCUCAAAUUUUCAAUUUUCUUUGUUUUUAAAGCCUACACAUAGGUGAUGAUAUAUACAUGCAUAUAUAUUUUGGAGAAUUUAUAAUUCUGAAAACAAUGCUGGUCUUAUGGAACCCAUCCAUUCCCCUUUCCCCGUGUGUGCUCCGAGCUGUGGUGGCACGUGAAAAGGGGUCCUUCCAGCAGUGGCCCACAGCCCUGGGCUGCUUACUUGCUCACUUCAUUUACAAGAGCAAGAAAUACACAUUCUUGUGUUGUUUAAGUCAUUAUGAUGUGGGGAUUUCCAUUACUCACACACCUGAUCUAGUAGUAACACAGUAGCCUAUUUUAGCAAUAUCAUUUAUUCAAUAAUCCAUUCUUUCCCCAUUAGUUUUGAGCCUUCAUUUAUUGUGUACUAAGUUCUGGUUAUUUUUAGUGGUUGUAAUCUCCUUCUUUCCUACUCUCUUAAUCAUGGGAUUGCCAAUAUCUGCUCUGUGUUUCUGUGCCAUCUAUAGCCUCUGGCCUUGGUACUGCUUCAAAACUGAUAUUUCUAACCUUACUUUGACUUCUCCAUUCAGUGAAGUUCCCAUAGUUCAUCACUCAACUGCUCUCUUUCCAUCGUGACCUUCUGAACUAGCUCACACCCAGAUGUACUUUUGUUAUCUGCCUUUCCCCCUCAUAAACAUGGGCUGCUGCUGGGGAAAAUCCACUACCGAACUCUUGCAGGUCUCUGCAAAUGUUUAAUGCCCUGUCUUAGCCAUGACCUCCACAAUGCUGGGCUAUCCUAUGUUAUGUCCCCUAAGAUAUCCCUUCUCUCUUACCUUUGGGGAUAGUCCUAAGCUUCCAUCAUGGCACUCAAAGUCCAACCUUAUUUGUACCCUCAUUCUCUGAGCAGACACCACCGUAUUCUGUUUCACAGAGAAAAUGUGACUGCUGGGGAUAAUUCUUUCAACUUCCUGGCCUCUUCCUAUACAUGAUCUUUCUCUGUAUUCUUGCCUAUUGCUCUUCCAUGUUGAUAGAAGUGUCUGUUCUCCUUGUCAGUGUCUCGGCCUUGGAUCUGUCCCCUAGACUAUUCUGCCUGUGUAAGGACCUUCCCUGACCAGCUGGGCCACCAUCUCCUGCUUCUCCAAUCCCUCACUCUAGACUGACUCUUAACCUUUGGUCAACAAUACUUGAGCUUUUACAUUCAUAAUGGAGCAUCUGUGUUGAACCUUGUUCUUUUCUAGACACUACCCUCCGUUCUGUCUUCCAUCCAUGGUGACUUUUCUAGAAAGAGCAUCUAUCACACUGGAGACAGCAAACUCCUUGAUCCAUUCUAAUUCCUAACCCUGCAAUAAUUUUCUAUCUCCCUUACUCAAGUAAUUGGGAGUGCUCCUAGUGUUACCAGAGACCCAGCAGUUCCCAAUUUCGAAUUUUUCCGUAUUCACAUUUCUUGACUUGCUAUGAUUUUACAUCACAGAUUACAUCCUUCAUUUGAAGAGACUCUAAUGGAAGGCUGCCAUGGAAACUCUCUCAUGUGGCUGACCUCCUACCUCACUUGCUCUUUCUGAAUGAAGUUCCCACUUUUGCCUGCCUUAAUGAAAGUAAUGCUCCCCAAACUCAAGCCCAGGGCUGCGAAUUGGAAGCAGCUGGGGCUACUGUUUCUGGGUGCUGGUGUGAAUGGCAGGAUGUGAACACCAGCCUGUGACGGGCAAAAAGAUGGACACACAGGCAGAGCCUGACAGGUGCUGGUGGUCCUAUCUGGUCCUGAGUUGCUGGGACCCUCCUUGCCCACUGCCCCUAGAAUGGACUUUGGCCUCAGGUUCGAAGUGUUCAGAUGUGACUGAGAUGAGCCUUUUCCCCAUGCCUCAGGAAUAGCGAAGAAACUCUAUCUGGAAGGUUCCCCAGGCUUCCCCACCCAGCAGCCUCUGGUAUUAGACCAGGCAGUGGCUGGCCAGGAUGGUGGGGACAGAAGGGAGACAAAGGUGAGCAGUGGGUGGGGUCACAUCCUCCCUGACAUUGAAUAGACAACAUGGGGAGGAAGGAUGAGUGAUCUUUAGAAUGUUCAUGGAAAAUGCAUAUUGGGAAAAAGAAUGCAUGAAUUUCAAAUUGUUUUGCAACAAAAUAAACUUGUACUAACUUGUGAAAACACGUCCGAACAGGAUCUAGUUUGAGGCCCUAAGAAGUAUAAGACAACAGUUUGAACAGAGCUCCUAUCAGACACAUGAAUUCUGCUAAAAUUGAAACCAGAACAAACAUGCAAUUGAUGGUGAAGCUUGGCUGGAAACAUGGUGAAAUCAUUGAUGAUUUAUUGAAAGUUUAUAGGGACAAUGCCUCAAAGAAAUCAGCAAUUUAAGUAAGUGGAUAACUCAUUGGAAGAAGAGAAGAGAUGAUGUUGGAGAGGAAGUCCACAGCAGCAGGCCAGCCACAUCAGUCUGUGAGGAAACAAUUCAUCUUGUUUGUGCCCUAAUUUAAGAGGACUGAUUAAUAGCAGCAGAAACAAUAGCCAACGCUGUAGGUAUCCCAAGGUGUUCAGCUUACACAAUUCUGACUGAAAUUAAAGUUGAGUAAACUGUCCACUCGGUGGGUGCCAAAACUUUCUCCCAGCUCAGCUGCAGAUAAGAGAAAAGCGUUCUAUGGCCAUUUUAAACAAGUGGAAUCAAGAUCCUGAAGCAUUUCUUCAUAUAAUUAUAGCCGGAGAUGAAAUGUGGCUUAACCAGUACACUCCUGAAGGCAAAGCACAAGCAAAGCAAUGACUACCUAGAGGUGGGCGUGGUCCCAUCAGAGUAAAAGCAGACAUGUCAAGGGCAAAGGUCGUGGCAACCGUUUUGUGAAUGCUCAAGGCAUCUUGCUUAUUGACUUUCUGGAGGGCCAAAGAACAGUAACAUCUUAUUAUGAGAGUGUAUAGAGAAAGUCAGCCAACGAUUUAGCAGGAAAACACCCAGGAAAUCGUCACCCCGGAAAGCUUCACCAGAGAGCCCUUCUCCACCAUGACAAUGCUCCUGCUCAUUCCUCUCAUCAAACAAGGCCAGUUUUGUGAGAGUUUCAAUGGGAAAUCACUAGGCAUACACCUUCCAGGCCUGAUUUGGUUACUUCUGUUUUAUAAUUUUAAAAAAUCUUUAAAGGGCACCCACUUUUCUUCAGUUAAUAACGUCACAAAGACUGAAGUGGCAUGGUUAAAUUCCCAGGGUGCCCAAUUCUUUAGGGAUGAACUGAAUGGCUGGUACCAUUACUUGCAGAAGCGUCUCGACCUUGAUGGAGCUCAUGCUGAGAAAUAAAACAUUUUUUAAUUUUUAUCUUUUAAUUCAA